UUUUUUGGUACCAUGGAUAGAACCCAGGGACACUUAACCACGGAGCCACAUCCUCAGCCUUUUCUUUGUGUUUUAUUUUGAGACAGGGUCUCACUAGUAGCCGUUGCUACUAAUGGCUCCAAAUUGAAACUCUCCAAACCUGCACUAGCUAUUGGCAGCAUAGGCACUUUUCAUACUGACUCAUUUACCCUACAACAAACCUUGGGGUGGAUCCUCUUGUUAUCCCCACUAUUCAGAUGAGAAAAUUGAGGCUUAGAGAGGUCUCUCGACUUGUACUGGUGGGGUCAGGAUUAAAACCCAGACUGUCCUGUUCUUUAGCAGUUGACAUACAUGGUCAGGACUUCCGGGAUCCAGACCCAGCUUCAUCCCUGAGGCCUCAGGCAAAUCAUUACAAUUCCUGGAACCCCACUUUCUCACCCCUAAAAGGGGAAUAAGAAUAUUUCCCCUGUUUAUGUCCUAGCACUGUUAUAGGAAUCAUAUAUAAGGCAAUCCAAAUGGAGAGAAAGCAAGAGAACAGAGGAAGUCAACAUUCAUUAAGUACCUACUGUGUGCCAGGGCAGUCACAUGAUUUUUGUGGAUGAUGACUUAUCUCUAAUUCUGCAAGCAAGGAUAGAAACCCAGGAAGAAAGCAGGAGUCAAAGACCUCCAGGGGGCUGGGGAUGUGGCUCAAGCGGUAGCGCGCUCUCCUGGCAUGUGUGCGGCCCGGGUUCGAUCCUCAGCACCACAUACAAACAAAGAUGUUGUGUCUGCAGAAAACUAAAAAAUAAAUAUUAAAAAAAUUCUCUCUCUCUCUCUCUCUCUCUCUCUCUCUCUCACUCUCACUCUCUCUUUAAAAAAAAAAAAAAGACCUCCAGUGUCAGGAAGCCCAAGAGUCUGGAUUCCAACAGAGGUCUGUUUGUUUCCAAAAUGUUUGGUUUUUGUGUUGCUUUUUCUUUUUUCUUUUUGUUUUGUUUUUGUUCACCAGGAUGUCACAGGCAUGAAAACUAAUGACCCAUGUCCCCUUAGGCCUUUUGUCUUCUGGAAUCCUCAUUUGCUCCACGAGUUUGGGUGUGUCCUGACUCACUGGCCACAGAAAGACUGCAACUUCCCACUUCUGCACCAAAGCCCCUGCUUCUCACCCUGCUACCACCCCCACUGCUGCUGCCCCACAUGCUGCCAGACAGCCACAGAUGCUGUGUGGCUCUGGGCAAAGCCCUUGACCUCUCAGAUACCAGUAACCUCAUAUCUAAAUGGGGCUAGAACCAGCACUGAAGAUCUCCAUGGCAAAACUCAAAGCCUCUCCCUACCCUGAGGUGGCUGGCCUGCUGCACACACCUGGCUCGAAGCUCAGCUGCAAUCCUGCUGAAAUGUCUCCGUGCCCAGGUUGUCCUGAGGCUUCAUUGUUAAACACAGGUGGACACUUGUUGUCCUCUCUGAGAACAGUGGAUAGCUCAUUCUUGUGGUGACAGUAAAGAGCAAAUAUCCCAUAUUCAUCUCAUGCUGAUCUUCCUCACAGGGCUACCGGCAGCCAGCCUCCUCCAUCCGUCCAUCCCAACCAGCUGGCUUUGAAGCAUUGACUGCCCAUGGCAGAGCAAUGGCCCUUUAAGGGCAACACAGGGCACUGCUUCCCUGGCAGCAUGUUCAGCACACACGCUGUUCCUAGGGUGCGUAUGGUGGGAGCAGGAGGGUAAGAGUAUAAAGGAACGAGAUGGCCUCAUGGCAGAUUACAGGCAGGGGAGAGGAGAGAAAGACGGAGGGGGAAAGAGAAAGAAAGAACUGCUCAGUUAUGUGUUUGAAUGUGGUUGGUCCCCACCCCAAACCCAUGUCAAAAUGCAAUCCCCAUUAUGAGAUAUUCAGAGUGCAGACCAGGUGGGACCUUUAAGAGUCAAUUAGGAGCUGGGCAUGGUGGCCCAAGCUUGUAAUCCCAGCGGCUCAGGAGGCUCAUAAAUUCAAAGCCAGCUUCAGCAAUGGUGAGGCACUAAGCAACUCAGUGAGACCCUGUCUCUAAAUAAAAUACAAAAUAGGGUUAUGAUUGCUGUAUGUAUAUAGGUGACUCUAUGACCAGUGUGAUUCUGCAAUCUGUACAAUCAGAAAAAUGAGAAAUUAUACCCCAAUGAAUCAAAUGUAUGAAUUGCCAAGAUCAUUGUAAUGUCAUGGGUAGCUAAUAAAAAAUAAAUUAAAAAAAUAUGAAGGGUUAAAAAAAAUACAAAAUAGGGCUCAGUGGCUGAGUGCCCCUGAAUUCAAUCCCUAGUACCAAAAACCAGAAAACAAAACACAAGGCGAUUAGGGCUUUGCCCUCAUGAAUGGACUAAUCCAUUUACAUAAUUAAUGGAUUAAUGUGUUAUUUCAACUAUAAAAGUCAGUUUGGUUAGGUCUCUCACCAAGUGAUGCCCUAUGCCACCCUGGGACUCUGCCAGCAAGAAGGCCAUUGUCAGAUGUGGGCCCUUGACCUUGGACCAGGACCAUGAGAAAAAUAAACUUUUUCCUUUAUCAUUUAUAGAGGCUGAGAUGUUGUGUUAUCAGCAACAGAAAAUGCACCAUGACAACAGCCCUGUCUAGAAUUUGCUAUGUCAAGGAAAAAAAAUGUCAAUUUAACUAUUAAAGAGAGCCUCUUGAUGGGGAAUAAAUGAAGAUGGGGGGACACAUGUUCUUAAGAUUGGAAGGUGGGCACUGUGAGGUGUGCCUAUGGUUCUUGCCCUCGGGAGACUGAGGUAGAAGGAUCACAUCCCAGAAUUCCAGACCAGCCCAAGCAGAGAGACCCUGCCUCCAACAAAACAAAAACUUUAAAAUGCAGAUUGAAAGUGACUUUGAAAUUGAUGACUGGCUGACUCUAGGCCUUGAUCUAAUUUCGUAACAUCCCUGAGGUUUUUUAUAAGUGUCUGCAUGGUGCUGGUCCCUGGUUACAGACUUCUAUUUCAUCUUCGUAGCCAUCCUCUGAGUUGCUCUUAUAUUCAUGUUGUAGAAGAGAGUACUGACCCUCACAGAGUGGCUUUCCAAAGACCACAGAGUAAGUGCGGGAGAUGGGAUCCUCGCCAUUCUAACUCCAGAGUUUCACAAUGCUCAAUUCAGGCAUAGGAAAAGCCCCGCUAGGGCAGCUUGUGCUAUAAGGGCCGGGAGGGGUGGGGGGCAUUUCACAGUAAGAGGCCACAGAGCUUUAAUUUGUACUAUUUUUUUGUUGUUGUUUAGCAGACUGACCCAUUUGUUUUCAUUGCUUUAUUUUUAAUAUUGAAAGAUCUGAUUAACAAAUAGUCCAGACAUGGGAACAUUUCUUAAAAUCUGAUAAUCCAUAAAAUAUUAUAUUUUUGCCCGUUUGCUUAAUGCUUUUAAUGACAAGCAACUUGAGAGCUUAAAAAUGUAAUAUUAAUUUUUAAUACAAUUUUUCUACUUACAGACUUAAAUUUGCACACUUGUAGACUUUGAUUUUUUUUAAAAAAUUGGCAUUGUUUAUGAAAUGUCUCAGACCAGAUGUUACAAAUGUCUCUGAAAUGCAGUAAGCUCUCCUGUGAAACCUAUAGGGUACAAAAUAUGGGUACCAUUUCUCUCUCCUGCACUCUUGGGGAACAGACAGCCCUUGCAUUAUAUGAUGCCUUGGGGUGGGGAUAGUAUGAUCUUAUUUUUGUGUGUAUAUAUGUGUGUGUGUGUAUACACACACACACACACACACAAACACAAACAAAAAGGAAAGUCUGGGAGAAUGUAUGCCAAAACAUUGAUUUUGCUUACAUCAGGAUGGAGGGUGUUAUGGUUUGGAUAUGAGGGGUCCUCCAAAAUCUCCUAUGGUGAUUCAGGGAUGUUCAGAGGUGAAAUGAUUGGAUUGUGAAAGCUGUACUUUGGUCAAUCCAUCCUACAGUGAAUGGACUGACUGUCAGGUGGUAACUGUAGGCAGAUGGGGCAUGUCUGGAGGAGGCGGGUCACUGGGGGUUCAUCUUCCCUGUGGCCUCUCCCUCCCUCUACUCUCCUACUCUCUGCUUCCUGAACACCCCCCCCCCAUCCCCUGCCAUGAGCUAAGCAGCUUUGCCCUGUGGUCCCUUCCCCCAUGAGGUACUGCCUCACCUUGGGCCCACAGCAACAGAGUCAGCCAUCUAUGGGCUGAGACCUCUGGAAUUGUC
rnacentral:lncRNA from 1 species